rnacentral:rRNA from 1 species
UACGUAGGGUGCGAGCGUUAAUCGGAAUUACUGGGCGUAAAGCGUGCGCAGGCGGUUGUGCAAGACAGAUGUGAAAUCCCCGGGCUCAACCUGGGAAUGGCAUUUGGGACUGCAAGGCAGGAGUGUGGCAGAGGAGACUGGAAUUCCUGGUGUAGCAGUGAAAUGCGUAGAUAUCAGGAGGAAUACCGAUGGCGAAGGCAGGUCUCUGGGCUGACACUGACGCUCAUGCACGAAAGCGUGGGGAGCAAACGGG